CUGAAUAACUACGCAGAUCGCACGGUCUCGUACCGGCGACAUAUCCUUCAAGUGUCUGCCUUAUCAACUUUCGAUGGUAGUUUACAUGACUACCAUGGUUGUAACGGGUAACGGAGAAUAAGGGUUCGACUCCGGAGAGGGAGCCUGAGAAACGGCUACCACAUCCAAGGAAGGCAGCAGGCGCGCAAAUUACCCACUCUCAGAACGAGGAGGUAGUGACGAAAAAUAACGAGACAGUUCUCUAUGAGGUCUGUCAUCGGAAUGGGUACAAUUUAAACCCUUUAACGAGGAUCUAUUGGAGGGCAAGUCUGGUGCCAGCAGCCGCGGUAAUUCCAGCUCCAAUAGCGUAUAUUAAAGUUGUUGCGGUUAAAAAG
rnacentral:rRNA from 1 species